rnacentral:lncRNA from 1 species
UUGCCAGACUUAGAAGACUUGAUGAAAAGGGAGAACCAGAAGAUUCUGACUCCCCUGGUGAGCCUGGACACCCCAGGGAAAGCAACAGUACAGGUGGUCAUUCUGGCCGACCCUGACGGACAUGAAAUUUGCUUUGUCGGGGAUGAAGCAUUUCGAGAACUUUCUAAGAUGGAUCCAGAGGGAAGCAAAUUGUUGGAUGAUGCAAUGGCAGCAGAUAAAAGUGACGAGUGGUUUGCUAAACACAAUAAACCCAAAGCUUCAGGUUAACGGAAGACAUGAUGCAGAGCAAGCCUCUGUGAUUCCUGCCCAGCACCUGUGAGGCCUGACGUGUCAGUUCCCAAUAAAUGCUCUUCUGAUUUGUUUCCCGUAUAGGCAAGGAGGCUCGGGUAGUGCAGAUUUGUGUAUUUCAAUCUUUGAAAGCUCUGAUGUAGUUUAGAAAUGAAAUCCAAUCAUGAGUCCAGGUAGAGAACGCCUGCUGUAAUCUGCGCAUUCUGUAUAUAACUGUGUUGGAUGAGUGACAGAUGAUUGUGCAGACUAGGACAGCGGCAUGAACAUGACUUUGGUUGGGACUGCGGAUAGUUAGGGUUACCUCUGAAUCAUGUAGCUUUUAUGAGAGCAGCUGUGAAAGUGAAUCCACAUUAAUGGCUUGUCGUGGUGCCACUCCCAGCACCUGACGAUAUGCUCUUCUAUUGUCUUAUUCUGGCAGGUUUUGACGUUUUAAAUUUUUUAAAGAAAUUUUAUUCCUUGGACCAAAAGGUUUGGUUAACCACCCCCAUCUUACUUGCUUUCACAUUUUGAGUGUCCAGAGGAAACAGAAAGGGAUGAGUGUGCGAGCUUCUUUCUGCGUAUAUAUUUUGUUUUUUCUGUGUAUAUUUUUAAUCCCGACAGAACAUCAUGUGAGAUUUCUUUAAAAUGGAUUAAACGAUUUCUUCAGCCUGAAAAAGAAGGUUUUGAAAAUGUUUUCUUGUAGUUUUGUUUGGUUCUAAACAACAAAUAGGUUUUAAUCACUCGAAAUGGAAUUAUAUUGUGUAUUCAUUGAAUAAAUUUUUUUUGAAAGUAAGCUUCUGAAAUCAAGCUGUGAUACCAGUCUCUAAGUCUCAUCAUUUAAAGUGGUGGCCAGGUUCAGAUUUUUAAAAAUAAACUUAGGAGAUUGGAAGGGAUUGACUCAGAGGAUCCUGGUUCCAAAAGAACAUAUAUAGAAUUACUUGUAAAUCAUAACCUCUGCUUUCCUCCCUUACUGGCAGGGCGUGGGGCAUGGAAAUUUUGGUUGUAUUUGAGCUUAUCUUCUUAUAGGGGUGAUGCUAUU